rnacentral:misc_RNA from 1 species
GCUUGGCGGUUGGCAUUGGCUGGUCCUGAAAAAUGGAGUGGAAGUAAAGCUACAAAGAAAUGCUUUGAGUGUGCUUGAGCCUCCCACGGGGGAUGAAGAAGAGGACGAUUAUGACUUUGAUGACUCGAGCAGUGGUUCAGAACUUGGUGAAAAAGAAAACCAUCAUUUCGCUACUGGUGUCGUAUACCGAAAAGUGAGCAAGCCUAGAGUUCGAUAUACAAGGCCAUGGGCCUUAUCUGGAUCACAAAAGACAAUGAACCGUGGCAAUUGCAGAGACGUUGAAACGAACUAUUUGCAACCGAGGUUGAACUUGGCAAAACUCGGAACUGGUUCAUUAUGGAGGUACUGGCGAAACUUCAACCUUGCACAUAUUAGCCCUAACCCAACGAAGGAACAACUCCUUAGCGCUGUUCAGCAACACUUCUCGUCACAGCGAGUUGACGAGGUACAAGUAGUGAUGGAAUUCAUCCGCGCAGCCAAGAAACUAAGAUCAACUGACACACAUUGAGAUUUAUCGAUGAUACAGAGGGAAAUUUGUGAAGGAGGAAGGUUGGAUUAUUAUCUGUAAUAUAAUGCAAUGCAUAUAUAGAGUAAAUAUUUAUGAACCUCUUAACUUAGUUCAGCUAAUUAUAGAACUCUACUAAUAGAGACUGGUGGGAGCUUCUUUGUUAGCUCACUCCCCCAAAAUUGUCUCCCGGAUCCCUAACCUUGUAUGAUCCGGCUGCGACCCGGACCCCGACUCCGUUAAAUAUAAG